rnacentral:rRNA from 1 species
UGAGGAAUAUUGGUCAAUGGUCGGGAGACUGAACCAGCCAAGCCGCGUGAGGGAUGAAGGUACAGAGUAUCGUAAACCUCUUUUGUCAGGGAACAAAAGGCGCCACGCGUGGCGCUCCGAGUGUACCUGAAGAAAAAAGCAUCGGCUAACUCCGUGCCAGCAGCCGCGGUAAUACGGAGGAUGCGAGCGUUAUCCGGAUUUAUUGGGUUUAAAGGGUGCGUAGGCGGCGAGUUAAGUCAGCGGUAAAAGCCCGGGGCUCAACCCCGGCCCGCCGUUGAAACUGGCUUGCUUGAGUUGGAGAGAAGUAGGCGGAAUGCGCGGUGUAGCGGUGAAAUGCUUAGAUAUCGCGCAGAACUCCGAUUGCGAAGGCAGCCUACCGGCUCCAGACUGACGCUGAGGCACGAAAGCGUGGGUAUCGAACAGGAUUAGAUACCC